GUCGGUGGAGGUGGUGUUUUGCAUGAUCAUCUAGGCCACUGGGGAGGCUUCUUUGCAAAGUUUAGUGUUUGCACCUUAAUGCAAGCGGAAGAUGCUUUAGCAUGUGGUUUGAAUAUGGCAUGGGAGUUGGGUUACCAUAAGACAGUUGCUGAAAUGGACCCUCAAAUCAUUGUGCAGUUAAUCAAUGACAAAGUUAAUCUAUUU
rnacentral:misc_RNA from 1 species